UUUUCUAUAAGCUUCGAGAAAUGAGAUUUAAAUUUUCUAUUUUUUAAAAGACUAUGAAGAAUGAACCUCAUUUAAAAAAUUCUUCGUCUCUUGGGAAUUCUUUUAAAGAACAUUAAGCAGCAUGCUUUUGAUGAAGCUAUAUACUUGGUUACUCGUUGGAAUGGACACCAGGUGAAUGUGUACCAGAAUUUUUUUCCGAUCUUCUGAUUUUUAAUUCUAUUCACUCAGAUUUAAAUGAUCUUGGCAUUCUAUGGUGGUGUGAUAGUCCAGAAGAUUUUGUGGCAAAGCAUAGAAAUGUUUUAGAAAGUUCUCAUGUAUCUGAGCCACUUCAUCACCGGAUGGAUUUAACUUUUGGUUAUAAAGUGUCUGACUCAAAAGAGAGUGGUGAUGAGGAAGGACAAGUCCAGCUUUUUUAAAACAUUUAGGUCAAAAUGUUCAUCUGCUUGCUCAAAAUCCAGACCGGAAAACCAAAUUAUUGUCUUACCCAAGGAUCCAUUAUCUUCCCGUCUUUAAGCUCUGCAUGCUUUUCAAUCUUGGUUUGAUGGAGAAUAUCAUCAUUUUAAUGAAUUUAAGGACUAUUCUCAAAUCAAUGAUGUUUCUGUAAAUUAUUUACGAGGCAAAGAUAUGGUAGCUCUUGGUUGCCUGAUUAGUGAAAUCGCUCUAUCAACUCAUUGUAAAGUUUUACCUCGAAACUCUUCUUUCAAAACAUGUUAUGAUCACUUACUUAAACUAUUACGAAUAUAUAGACAAGAAAUACCAAGCAAAUUGCAGGCAUCAAAGAGAAUGCCAUUUUAGAGCGAGUCAUUCUGGGCCACAGAAGUCUCCAAGGAAUGCCUCAGCAACUUGCAGAAGUGUAUUACAUUAUGGAAGCCCAGCAGCUCAAUGGUUAUUGCUUAGAGUGUUUUCUUGCCAAAGAUCAUGCUGAUAAUUCUAUUAUCAUUGGGGUAUUGUUCAUAGGCAUUUAUCUAUGGUACCUUAACAACCAACCAUCGAUUUAUUUUUUGCUACUAAAAGCAACUAUUUUGUUCAUUUUUUUCUGUGGCAACCCUGUGAUCAAACCAUUGGGAAUAUAUCACUCCUAUUGCAUCUUCCUCCUAUAUUUUAGAUGUCAGAAAUCUGAAUCCGUCGAAAAAAGAGUGCUCUUGUAGUUGCUAUAUUGAAUAUCCAUAUUCCAAUUGCAUUGGGUGCAUUUCAAUGAAGUUAGAAAAUUAAACAGCACAUUAGGAGUAGUCUAUUUCAAGGACUUGCUAAUUUAGCUCUAUAUGAUCCAUUGCUCAUCUGUCCUUAUUAUUUGGGCAGUUCAUUCCUGGUUUAGCUGCAGGUGCAAGAAUUUUUCAAGUAACCAAGUUUUAUCUGGCAUUUAUUUAGAUGUGAAUGUACUCAGAAACUAAAUACUAUUUUAAAGUACAUGAAUUCAUCUCCAGAGAUACCUUUGAAAGGAGUGAAAAUAAUUGAGCUUUUUGGGGAAGUACAAUUUUGAGAUGUUACUUUUAGAUAUCCAUCAAGACCUAAUCAGGUUAAUCUGGUCACUUUUAAAAUUAAACUAUUUUAUUUCAGGCUCUUUGAAAUAUGAAUAUCUAUUGUAAUAUUGUUAUUUAUGAAGGUUUGUAAAAUAUAUCAUUCUUGAUAUUUAAUAUUGAACUUUUUAAAAUGAAUGUAUU